GGAGUCCUGCUUUUUCCAGAUGGAAGCUAGAAAACUUGUCUGGAGAUCAGGAGCUCCAGGACAGGACUCUGAACUCAAAGUUUAAAGUUGCAGGUCAGUACCAGCUUUGGCUGCUUGGGAUGUAGGACUAGGGAUGAGCUCGUGAGCCACAGAUGGGAGAAAGGCAGGGUACCUGGAAAAAUCAUUCUCAAGGGAAUCCUUUCCAAGCAGAAGGGAAAGGUGAGCCCAGGUGGUUCCUGUGAGAUUCAGUGUCUUCAAUCGAAGAAAUAGAGCACAAGUUUCUUCAGUGGCAAAGAGAAACCAACCUUGCCCAUCCCCACUGCAUACAGGACAUCUGAACAGACCUUAACUAAUGGCAGAUGAGAAAAAUGCAGUGCAAAAAGGUUGUCAGGUCACUCAGCUCGUCAUUUCCUGGAACAUGACAGGCCCUCAAAUGUGUUGAAUGCGGGCAAGUGGCAGGAUCAAGAUACAGUUACUCGAUUUGGUCUGAAUCCUAAGCCCAUGGCCAUCAAGCUGCAUCAUAGUGCCAUGUGAAGUGCAGUCUAGGAAAAUGCUAGACCUCUCUCUCAGUCUUUCCCUUUUUUUCUAGUAAUUUCUCUCACCUAAGACUCAAAGUUU